GCCCCAGAGUGCCACGCGCGGGCCGGGCGGGGUGCGCCGCGCAAGCGCACAGGCGCCCUGGCCUGGCGUCCGCGCCCCGCGCUAGUCGGUGUCGCGUUCCCCGGCGAAGCGAGGAAGUGGCGCCCAGGCUGCCGUCCAGACAGGCUUUCGGCCCCACACGAUACGUGGCCGUGGUCCUUGCCCCCGCGUGGUCUCCGGGCCAGGGCGCCAGGAGCGGAACCCUGGAAGACGCAGGACUGAGGGAGGAAAGUUCGCACCUGUCGGUGUUCCCAGUGCGACGGAGCAGGCAAAGUAGCCUCCGACGCCCCGGAGCAGGAUGGCACCCAGCGGGUGUCCCGCUGGGAUAGACACCAGAGAAAUCACCAACACUGGCCAAGCUACAAAAGGACCAAACAUCCGUCAUUUCAGCCACCACACACGCUGAGGUUUUACCAAGUACAAGCUUGUCUCUGUAUGCUCCUUGGUCUCAGAGAAGAGCCAGUCGUGAUAUUACCUCCUCUUCCUUUUCCUCAUCUACAACCCGCAAAAGACCUCCCUUCCUUCAACUGGCCACACAUUCAGAUAGCACCAGUCCUUUCCAGCACUCGUUACCUGUAUCGCCGGUGCUGCGCGAACUUCUUGGUGCAGCAGGUCACUGCUCCACUGUGAAUGUGUUCCGGGUGGACCAGCCCAGCAGACCUCUAGGCCAGUUUGAAGUCUUCGCUUCUCAGACAGAACCACGUCCUCCGUGGCAGGUGUAGGAUUUGGAAAUAAUAUCACUUUGUCUUCUGUCCUCAUCUCUCACACCCUUCCCAGCCGACCCCAACUUGACAUCAACCCAAAGCAGCUCUUGCUAAGCUUGCUGAUGACUUCCCGCUCCUGAAAACAGACUUGUCACUCUGGAUUUUCCUCUGUUCAUUACUCCAUCUCUACCUCAUUUGGAGGCUCAACUUCUAUCUGGCGUUAUUUGAUGGAAUUAUCUUCUUUUGUGGAGACAAGAACUUGCUGGGUAGACCACACUGGACCUGAAUUCACAAUGUCUUUACCUCCUCAGUGCUAGGCUUAUGUAUAGGUCCCUGAGUUCCAGGACGUCCCUAGAACAGUGUGUGGAUGCUCAGGGCACCUCGAGGCCCUGACAGAUCCCAUUUUCUCCACUACACGUCUUUCCUUUAUCCUGUUGCUUGGCCCAGCACACCUGGGUGGAAGGCCUCGGCAGGGGUAGUAUGUGGUUGAGGAGUUCCUUCACCUCACGGGGACCAGGAAGCAAAGUGGAACAGCAGCAGGAAGGGACCGGAACAACAGAUAAUCCCAAAGGACACGCUUCCAGCGACCUACUUCCUCCAGUUUCUACUUUCCACCACCCCAAUCUAUUAAAAUGUAAACCUGCCAAAGAGUUAUAUUCAUUC